rnacentral:rRNA from 1 species
GGGGGAAAAUUAAUUAAUAAAAAUAACUAAUAAAAUUAAUUUUAUUUGUAUAUAUUUAAUGGGGGUUAAAGUAUACAUAUAAGAAAAAAUUUAAAAAUUUAUAGUUAAAUAGUAUUGUAAAAUAAAUUUGAAAUAAAAUGAAAAUUAAUUAAUUAAUAAGUAAAUUUAAUUUAUUGUAUCUUGUGUAUCAGAGUUUAUUAAAAAAAAUUUUUAUUUAAAAAAAUCUCGAAUUUAAAAGAGAUAAUUAAUUAAAAAAUUUAUUGUUUCAUAAAUAUUUUAAAUAAUUAAUUUGAAAUGAAAUGUUAAUCGUUUUUAAAUAUAUCUAGUUUUUUUAGAAAUAAAUUUAAUUUAUAAUUUAUUACUAUAGGAAAAAAUUAAUUUUUUCCUAUAGUAAUAAAUUAAAUAUUUUAAGGGAUAAUCUUUAAAUUAAAAUUUUAUAAUUAAUAAUUUAUUUUUUAAAAUUUUUAAAAUUUAUAUUGUUUAUAAAUUAUAUUUUUUUAUAAAAAAUUUUAAUAUUAUAAAAAAUUUUUAAUUAAAAUUUAAUUUUUUAUAAAAAAAUAAUUUAUAAUUUUUUUAAAAUUAGAUAUAAUGAUAAAAUUAGUAUAAAUUAUUUAUUUAUGAGAAUAAAUAAUUAAAAAAAUUAAUUAAAAGGAAUUCGGCAAAAAAUUAUAUUCACCUGUUUAUCAAAAACAUGUCUUUUUGAAAAUAAUUUAAAGUCAAAUCUGCCCACUGAUUUAUUAAAGGGCUGCAGUAAAUUGACUGUACAAAGGUAGCAUAAUAAUUAGUCUUUUAAUUGAAGACUUGUAUGAAAGAUUUAAUGAAAUAUAAACUGUCUCUUUUUUAUAUUUUGAAUUUAAUUUUUUAGUAAAAAAGCUAAAAUUUGUUUAAAAGACGAGAAGACCCUAUAGAGUUUUAUAUUUAAUUUAAUUUUUAAUUUUUAUUAAUAUUAAAUAAAAAUUAAAUAAAAUAUUUUAUUGGGGUGAUAAAAAAAUAAAAUUAACUUUUUUUUAGAAUGAUAUAUAUAUAUAUAUUAUAUAUAUAUAUAUAUAUAUUAUAAACAUUAAUUUAUGAAAAAAUGAUCCAUAAUUUAUGAUUAAAAGAAAAAAUUACCUUAGGGAUAACAGCGUAAUUUUUUUUUUUAGUUCAAAUAAAAAAAAAAGUUUGCGACCUCGAUGUUGGAUUAAGAUAAAAUUUAAAUGUAGAAGUUUAAAAUUUUUGAUCUGUUCGAUCAUUAAAAUCUUACAUGAUCUGAGUUCAAACCGGUGUGAGCCAGGUUGGUUUCUAUCUUUAAAAAAUUAAAAUAUUUUAGUACGAAAGGAUCAAAUAUUUAAAAUAAUUUUAGUUAAAAGAAUUUUUUUAAUAGCAUAUAUAUAUAUAUAUAU